CCUACGGGAGGCAGCAGUGAGGAAUAUUGGUCAAUGGGCGAGAGCCUGAACCAGCCAAGUCGCGUGAGGGAAGACGGUCCUAUGGAUUGUAAACCUCUUUUGCCGGGGAGCAAAAAGCGGUACGUGUACCGCAUCGAAAGUACCCGGAGAAAAAGCAUCGGCUAACUCCGGUCCAGCAGCCGCGGUAAUACGGGGGAUGCGAGCGUUAUCCGGAUUGAUUGGGUUAAAAGGGUGCGGAGGCGGAGAGUUCAGUCAGCGGUAAAAUUUCGGGGCUCAACCCCGACAAGCCGUUGAAACUGGCUUGCUGGAGUGGGCGAGAAGUAUGCGGAAUGCGUGGUGUAGCGGUGAAAUGCAUAGAUAUCACGCAGAACUCCGAUUGCGAAGGCAGCAUACCGGCGCCCAACUGACGCUCAGGCACGAAAGCGUGGGUAUCGAACAGGAUUAGAUACCCUGGUAGUC
rnacentral:rRNA from 1 species